rnacentral:rRNA from 1 species
UCCACGCUGUAAACGAUGGGCACUAGCUAUUGGCAGUGUCGACCCUGCCAGUGGCGAAGCUAACGCGUUAAGUGCCCCGCCUGGGAAGUACGCCGGCAACGGUGAAACUCAAAGGAAUAGACGGGGGCUCACACAAGCGGUGGAUCAUGUGGCUUAAUUCGAUAAUAACCGAAGAACCUUACCAGGGCUUGACAUGCUAGUGAAACCCUGCCGAAAGGUGGGGACUCCACACG